ACGCUUUCUUGAAGCACAUGUACUAAACCUGGCACGACACGGAGAAGAUUAGCAUAGUUCUAAUGCAAGGAUGGCAUGCACGUGGGAGAAGCAUUCCAUAUUUUA